AGUGAACGCUGGCGGUAGGCCUAACACAUGCAAGUCGAACGGCAGCACAGUAAGAGCUUGCUCUUACGGGUGGCGAGUGGCGGACGGGUGAGGAAUACAUCGGAAUCUACUUUUUCGUGGGGGAUAACGUAGGGAAACUUACGCUAAUACCGCAUACGACCUACGGGUGAAAGCAGGGGAUCUUCGGACCUUGCGCGAUUGAAUGAGCCGAUGUCGGAUUAGCUAGUUGGCGGGGUAAAGGCCCACCAAGGGGACGAUCCGUAGCUGGUCUGAGAGGAUGGUCCAGCACACUGGAACUGAGACACGGUCCAGACUCCUACGGGAGGCAGCAGUGGGGAAUAUUGGACAAUGGGCGCAAGCCUGAUCCAGCCAUACCGCGUGGGUGAAGAAGGCCUUCGGGUUGUAAAGCCCUUUUGUUGGGAAAGAAAAGCAGCAGGUUAAUACCCCGCUGUUCUGACGGUACCCAAAGAAUAAGCACCGGCUAACUUCGUG
rnacentral:rRNA from 1 species